AGAAAUAACUGGGGGCAUGGAGAAUGCGGUGGCUGUAAAGGGCCGCUGAGGCGGUGGAGGCCUGGCAGAGAGCGUCCCCGCGGUCGCGGCUUCUGGCUUCUCUGUGGAGCUUGGUUCUUCCGUGGUGGUGCAGCACCCCAGGAACUUCAGGAACCAGUCCUUCCUUGGAGAGCUCCCCGGGACAGCCACGGGGGCCAAGUGAAACUAGCGCGUUUUCUUGGAUCCUACACUUUAUAGUGAGUCAUAAAUACUUUAAAUACAAAGCCAACAACAUUUGCUGCAAAUAAACGUAAAAAUACUGUUAAAGUGUAAAGUGUUUUCCUCCGUACCAUCUGACGUUUCUGGCGGUUCGUUGAACGCGAGAGAACGCUGAGCCGUCUGCACUGAGCCCGGGAGCAUCUUCAGGGCAGCGCCGCCCACGCGCGAGGUGAAUGAAGGACACGGCCUCUUGACACUCCCAGGCAGCACAGAUAGACGGAUCCGUAAGUGGCUCCCGCGCAUGUUAAAAUUUGUAUACUGUAAGGUAUUUCAUGGAUUGAGUGAAAUACCUGACAGGGCCUGUAUCCGUUCCCUAUUGCCACAAUAACCAAAAACCACAAACUUUGUAGCUUGAAACAGCACAAAUUUAUCAUCUGACAGACAAUGCAUUUAUUAUCUCACGGUUCUGUAGAUCAGAAGUGCUACCUGGGUGUCACCCGGGCUGCACUCCUUUCUGGUGACUCCACAGGACAAUCCUUAGCUUGCCUUUGCCAGCUUCUGUCCACAUUCCUUGGCUUUGGUCCCUUCCUCCAUCUUCAAAGCCAGUGAUAUGCCAUCUCUCUGAACCUUCCAUCCUCAAGUCUACCGCUGAUUGCAGCUGGAAAAGAUUCUGAGGGCUCACCUGAGUAAUCCAGGAUCAUCUUCCCAUUUCCAGGUCUCUGCCCUUGAUCACAUCAGCAGAAUCCUUUUGCCAUUGGCUAGAAGUGACCCCAGGAUUUUUUUAUUAUCAAGAGAGACUAGAAGAAUCAUGAGACUUUUCCUAGUUGCCUUUCAAGAAUAUGAAGAAAAAAAUGGUUCUCAAAGUGGGUUUGAAUGAGUAUUGUUCCAAUAAAUGAACUUAUAUUCAUAUUUCAUCCCCUGAGUCCUGGUGUUUCAACAUCCAUUAGAAC
rnacentral:lncRNA from 1 species